AUUCUUUUAGUAUUGACCAGUACAGCUAACUUCCAAUUAGCUAGCCUUGGUAAAACUCCAAGAAAGAAUA
rnacentral:tRNA from 1 species